GAUAAUAUCGCUUAUGGAAGUAACUGGAAUAAAUUUGGACUAUUUCCUUCGGAAGUUUACAGGACUGUCCUGUCAAAAGGCCUCCCUCGUGUUUACAUAUUUUGACAGGUCGAGUUGUUCUGGGACUAGGAACAAUGAUGAAUGAAUACCUGCACCAUGGAAACAAUGUCAUUUGCAAACUUUUUGAACCUGUGCUGGGCGUUCACAUUGACAUUUCUUGUUCAACAGGAAUACAUGAUGUCGACCAACAGUACAGAUAGAUGAAGAUAUAAAUUUAUUCAAAGAAAUAAUGGGACAAUGAAUGCUAAAAUUGCCAAGAAGAAGACUGCCA